GACGAACGCUGGCGGCGUGCUUAACACAUGCAAGUCGAACGAAGUGGCGAACGGGUGAGUAACGCGUAAUCAACCUGCCCUUCAGAGGGGGACAACAGUUGGAAACGAAUGCUCAUAACGCAUACUGAAGGAGGGGAUUGAGGCUGAUUAGCUAGUUGGAGGGGUAACGGCCCACCAAGGCGAUGAGCGGUAGCUGGUCGUAGAGGAGUAACGGCCACAUUGGGACUUGUACACGGCCCAGACUCCUACGGGAGGCAGCAGUGGGGAAUCUUCCGCAAUGGACGAAAGUCUGACGGAGCAACGCCGCGUGAGUGAUUACGGCCUUCGGGUUGUAAAGCGCUGUUAAUCGGGACGCGGUACCGGAAUAGAAAGCCACGGCUAACUACGUGCCAGCAGCCGCGGUAAUAC
rnacentral:rRNA from 1 species